rnacentral:lncRNA from 1 species
GCUCCCCAUUAUCUGUUACUGCCACGAUGAGAUUCUGCUUGACGGCAUCUUUGUCCAGGAAUGUUCGGACAGUCCUGAUCUCCCCUGAGUGCAGGCCCACAGAGAAAAGCCCGGGCUCUAUGACCUUGAGCAGGCGAUAAGACAGCCAGGCAUUCUGGCCAGAGUCUGCAUCCACUGCCACCACCUUGGUCACCAAGUAGCCUGGCUCUGCAGAGCGUGGGGCCAGCUCCACUCCACUGGAACCAUCUGUGGGGAAGGUAGGGUACAGGAUUUCCGGGGUGUUAUCAUUUUGAUCCAGUAUGAACAGAGUCAGAGACACAUUGCUGCUGAGAGGAGGGUUCCCAGAGUCCCUGGCUGUCACUCUCAGCUGAAAUUCCCGGAAUUGUUCAUAGUUGAAAGAGCACAGAGCAUAGAGGACGCCAGUUUCCGAGUUAAUGGAGAUAUAGGAUGAGAGUGGUGGUGCCUCCAAUGGGAGAUUGCUAUCCAUGAUGGAGUAGGUGACUAAGGCAUUCUGCUCACUGUCUGAGUCAUGAGCAGUCAAGGAGUAGAUGGAAGCUCCUCUGGGGUUGUUCUCCUGGAUGUAGGCAGAGUAAGCUGACUGACUGAAAGCGGGAGAGUUAUCAUUGAUGUCUGCCACCUGCAAGAGGAUGUGAGUGUCUGUAGAUAGAGCUGGGCUCCCAAAGUCUUUUGCUUUCAUGGUUAUGUUAUACACAGACACCUGCUCCCUGUCUAGUGUCCUGUCAGUCACCAAUGAAUAAUAGUUGUCCACCUUCUUUUCUAAUUUAAAAGGCAGGUCUCCUGGGAUGGAACACAGGACUUGACCAUUUUCACCAGAGUCUCGAUCAUGCACAUGGAACAGAGCAAUUACAGUCCCAGGGGGAGCAUUUUCAGGGAUUGAGUUGGUGACAGAGGUGAUGGUCACUUCUGGAGCAUUGUCAUUCACAUCUAGAACUGUGACAUGAAUUUUAGCUCUGCUCCUGAGACCAAGACCAUCCUGAGCUUCCACUUCUAUUUCAUGGAAUUCUGUCUCUUCAUAAUCUAGAUUUUGUAAGGUUGACAAUUCUCCAGUCACAGAAUUAAUUUGGAAUAUUUGGGAGAUCUUCCCAGGACUUUUCACUUGAAAGUAUCUUACUUGAGAAUUGAUUCCUUCAUCUGCAUCAGUGGCAUUCACUGUGAGUAGUAUCGUCCCCUGGGGUACAUUUUCAGGAACACUGACAGUAUACACUGACUGAGAAAACACGGGGGCAUUGUCAUUUGCAUCCAGGACAGUCACUCGGAUUCUAGCAGUACCAGAACGAAGUGGUUCUCCUCCGUCCCACGCUGUGAGCAUGAGAUGGUGAACAGCCUCUUCCUCCCGGUCCAAGGCCCUCUCCAACACCAGUUCUGGAUACUUGACUCCUCCACUUGUACUUUGCACUUUCAGAGAGAAAUGAUGGCUGGGACUCAGCUCGUAGCCCUGGAGAGAAUUCACUCCCACAUCCUGGUCAUAUGCAUUUUCCAGGAGAUGCUGAGUUCCUGGAGCUGUGGUUUCACUAAUUUUUAGUUCUAGCUCAUCUACCAAAAAAUGAGGGGCGUUAUCAUUAAUAUCGGUUAUUUCCACCUCCACUGAAUGUAUUUUCAAUUUAUUUUCAACCAGAACAUUAAAAUUCAGCAGACACUCAGCGCUCUGCGCACAGACUUCUUCCCUGUCUAUUCUAUCUGCGGUGACUAAGCUGCCGCUUUUAACAUUGAGAACAAAAUGCUGCUUCUUACCUCUGGAGAUAAUUCGCGCCCCAUGCUCAGACAAUUCGCUCAGUUCCAUUCCCAAGUCCUUGGCGAUAUUGCCCACGAAAGAGCCUUUUUCUGUCUCCUCGGGAACCGAGUAGCGGAUCUGGGCAAUGCUGAUCUCCCACAGCGUCCCCAGGAGAAAGCAAAGCAGGAAGAGCGUUGUGCAGCCUUUGUGGUUUUGCUCAGCUACCAUUGUUUGCUUUAGAAAUGUUUUCUUUAUUCUUCAGCCGAAUAUGGAUUGUCACUCGGAUUUUCUGUUUUCUCCUGUAGUAUGACUUCAGAAGUCUGGAGCAUGUAGGAUUAUGGGGCUUACUUUCUGUGAAUCCUGGAUGCUGUGUGUUUGAUCUCCGAAAGGUUUGUGCUCUAGCACCCGGAAGGGUUAGGCGGGUCUUCUCCCUGA